CCCUUAGAUGUUCUGGGCCGCACGCGCGCUACACUGACGAAGUCAGCGAGCAUGUCCUACGCCGACAGGUGCGGGGAAUCUUGUCAAACUUCGUCGUGAUGGGGAUUGAUUAUUGAAAUUCUUGAUCAUCAACGAGGAAUUCCUAGUAAGCGCAAGUCAGCAGCUUGCGUUGAUUACGUCCCUGCCCUUUGUACACACCGCCCGUCGCUACUACCGAUUGAAUGGUUUAGUGAGAUCUUCGGAUUGGCGCCACUGCGGCUCAGCAAUGGGCUCGGUGGAUGCCGAAAAGUUGAUCAAACUUGAUCAUUUAGAGGAAGUAAAAGUCGUAUCA
rnacentral:rRNA from 1 species